AGGAGAAGGGAAAUGGCCGCACGGCUCAGCAGUUCCUCGAGGGGACGCUGCUGAGCCGCCUCUACCCCCAUCCGCAGCCCGCCCUCCGCAGCCAGCUCAGCCGCUGGCCCAGGAGGCUGAUGGAGGCACGGCGGUGGCCUCACCCGGACACUGUACUUGGCUGGCCUGUGACGACGGAAAGGACUAAUUCUCAGGAUUGAAAGGGACCUUCCAGGUCAUCUGUUCAAACCUCUCACCCUGUCAUGGAAGAAACAGGGCUGGGUUUUAUUGUUUGUUUUUUUCUGAGUACAUACUAUGUACAAGGCCCCAAACAAAUAUAGACACAGCAUUCUCACCACCUGCAGUGAAAACUAGUGGCAGAGGCAAAGAAAGGAAGAGUUGCAGUACAGUGUCAAGAUAGAGCCUGUGGGAUCUUAGUUCCCGGACCAAGGAUUGAACCCAUGGCCCCUGCAGUGGAAGCACGGACUCUUAACCAGUGGACUGCCAGGGAAGUCCCCAGUUUGCCUACUUUCAGUCUUACUUCCCUCCAAACCAUAUUUCACACUGUCACCAGGUCAGUCCUUCUAAAAGGCAAAUCCCAUUCAUUCAUUUGUUCAUGAAGUAUGAAUGGAGCAGCAACUCUGUGCCAGGCAGGCAAUGAUCACAUUUCUGUACUUGAAACCUUCAAUGGCUCAUGAUUACCCACAGAAUCAAGUUUAAAUUCUCAUAUAUGGCAUGCAAGUCCUCCAUGAACUGGCCUUUCUCCUCCCUCUAAAGCUUCAUUCCUCCCUUCACCUUUGCUUGAAAUAGUUUAUUAUUUAAAUAUCUAUUUCUUGUCUGUUAAUAAAUACAUCAAAGCACUUCAGUUUGGCUCUGAGUUUACCAUUGCAUUUUGUGUGAUAUGCCAAAGUUAUGGAAAUUACUGGAUAAGCAUACAGACUUAGUAGUUAGAUCUAAGUUCAAAUCCCGUGCUUGUUAUUACCUGUGUGACCUUGCUAAAUGACAAUCUCUCUGUCCCAGAGUUUUCCCCUCUGUGAAAUGGGAACAGUGAUAGUUGAUUCUUAGGAUUGUUAUGAAGAUUAAAUUAGAGAGUAUAUAAAAAGUUCCUGGCACAGAGUAAAAGCUCAAUAAAUAAUAGCUAUCUUUUUUUUUUGGCCAUGCCAUGUGGCGUGUGGGAUCUAGUUCCCUGACCAGGGAUGGAACCUGUGCCUCCUGCAUUGGGAGCACAGAGUCUUAACCACUAAACUGCCAGGGAAGUCCCAACAGUGGUUAUCAUUAUCCUUACAUUAUUCAUAACACUUAUUAUUAGCUUCUAAAUAAUUAUAGAUGUAGUAUGGAUUGUAUCCAAACAAAAAAGUCAUAUUUGCAUCACAGCCCUGUCUUUUAUUUUGUCAUUUCCUCUCCCGAUUAAAUAACAUAUGAAUUAUAUACCAGCAUUGCUCCUCUCUUCCUAUUGAACUUUUAACAUUUCUUAAUUAUUAGUGGUGUUUUAGCAUAAACACUAUGGUAGGUGAUGAAAAAUUAAAGCAACACACACUUAGGUUGGAAUUGUUCUUUAAUGUUUUCAGAACAUCUUUAUAUAACUGUAUUUGAUUAUAUGAUUCAUGAAUUGAAGAAGUAGACAGAGCAAGUAUUAUCAUGAUCAUGGUUCCCAAUUUACAAAUGAGAGAAAUUAAGUUCAGAAAGCCCAUGUCACAAUGUUACAACAGUUAAUAAGAUGUGGAAAUGAACACCUGGUCUUCCAAUUCAUUGUCUUGCACUUUUCCCAUUAUAUCAGACUAUCCCUCAGACUCAGUCAACAUAUCACAUCAUUCCAGCCCCAAAUAUCUUCCUUGGAUCUUCUAGACUAUGUGAACUCAUAUUAUUUAUUUGUGACAUAUCAUAUAGCCCUCUGGUUGUUAAUCUUUUUUUAUGUGUACAUAUUUUUUCCUCAAUAGAUGGUAAGCUAUACUUGAGGACAAGGCUAAGUCUUAUGCUUCUUUCUGUCCCCUAUAAUACUAGCAUAGUACAUUGAGCAUGACGAAUGGAUGGAGGGAGGGAGAGAAAGAGAGAGAGGGAGAUUUAAAAAUGUAAAAAGAUUAGUUUUGCACAAAUAAGUUAUAUACAAAUUUGGCACCACAGAAAACAGCAGCUACCUGUUAGAAGUGUCAUUUGCCAAUAGGAGGGACAGUUAUGUGUGUAGAUGGGAGCAAUGUAAAAUUUGGGAACAUAUGUAUGAAAGCAAUGAUCAUGGUUUAUUGAUAUUGCACACUAGUAAAGCUGAAAGUAGCACCAAUAAAUAGCAGCAGCAGCAGUCAGAGACCACGAUAAUUCCCUGGUGAAUAAGAGUUAGAUCCAUAGUUAUCACUUGAAGAAAAAAAUAUUCCUAAGAGAAAGCAGUCUUGCUUUUGUAAUUAUAAUGGACAAAUAAUCCAGCUACAAUAGGAACAAUCACCUAGUAGGUUUAGCAUGAGGAAUAGACGUAAUUCUGAACUCAUAAGUAAAAUAUAUUUCUAGAAAUAAGGUUAUACUAUAAACACCACAUCUAAAGACAGUGUACUCAUCAGCAAUUAAAUAGCACUGUGAUAGGCAUUGGAAAUGGUACAAAAAGGAUAAGACAUCGUUCCUGUUUCAACAAGUUUACACUUUGGGGAAAUAAAGUAUAAACACACACAAGUUAUAAAAGUAUAACAGUUCUUUGCAGCAAUAUAAGAAAAAAUUAUAAUCUGAAUAUCUCCUAGCUUUCCUGUAAAUCAAGAUUUUAAUAAAGUAUGUGAAGAAAACUACAUGUAUAAUUUUUUCCUUCAAACCAUUUUCAUUCACUUAGAGUCUAUUAUCACCUCAGAGCAGUUUGCCUUUUAAAACAGUACACAUGCCAUGCA